UACGUAGAGUGCAAGCGUUGUCCGGAAUUAUUGGGCGUAAAGGGUACGUAGGCGGAUAGUAAGGUCAAGCGUGAAAGGUGUCGGCGUUAACCGACAGAACUGCGUUUGAAACUGAUUAUCUUGAGUGUAACAGAGGAGAGUGGAAUUCCUAGUGUAGUGGUGAAAUACGUAGAUAUUAGGAAGAACACCAGUGGCGAAGGCGACUCUCUGGGUUAACACUGACGCUGAGGUACGAAAGCUGGGGAGCGAACGGGAUUAGAUACCCCUGUAGU
rnacentral:rRNA from 1 species